GAUGAACGCUGGCGGCGUGCCUAAUACAUGCAAGUCGAGCGAACGGACGAGAAGCUUGCUUCUCUGAUGUUAGCGGCGGACGGGUGAGUAACACGUGGAUAACCUACCUAUAAGACUGGGAUAACUUCGGGAAACCGGAGCUAAUACCGGAUAAUAUUUUGAACCGCAUGGUUCAAAAGUGAAAGACGGUCUUGCUGUCACUUAUAGAUGGAUCCGCGCUGCAUUAGCUAGUUGGUAAGGUAACGGCUUACCAAGGCAACGAUGCAUAGCCGACCUGAGAGAGUGAUCGGCCACACUGGAAGUGAGACACGGUCCAGACUCCUACGGGAGGCAGCAGUAGGGAAUCUUCCGCAAUGGGCGAAAGCCUGACGGAGCAACGCCGCGUGAGUGAUGAAGGUCUUCGGAUCGUAAAACUCUGUUAUUAGGGAAGAACAUAUGUGUAAGUAACUGUGCACAUCUUGACGGUACCUAAUCAGAAAGCCACGGCUAACUACGUG
rnacentral:rRNA from 1 species